rnacentral:lncRNA from 1 species
AGGGGCAGAACUUGGCGGAGGAGAGCUCAUACCCCCACCAGGUGCCCCACCGGGUGAGGUGGGUGUAGGAGCUCCUCCGGGACCAGAAGCACUUGAAGGUGUAGGAGCUCCUCCGGGACCAGGAGCACUUGAAGGUGUAGGAGCUCCUCCGGGGCCAGGAGCUGGUGAGGAUGACGGCACUGAUGCUGGUGUAGGUGCUGGACCCGCUGGUGUUUUUGGUGCUGGGGCUGGUGUUGCUGCUGCUGGUGUUUUUGCUGGCGCCGGGGCCGAAGUCGGUGGUGCAGGUGUAGUUGACGGUGUUGAUGCUGGCGGAGGUGUGGAUGAGGGUGGAGGUGUGGAUGCUGGUGGAGGUGUUGAUGGUGGCGAUGAUGCUGGUGGAGGGGUGGCUUUAGGAGCUGGAGCUGGAGCUGCACCACCUCCUGAAACGGAGACGGUCAAUUUUUGUCCCAAGGAACAGUGCUGGCCGAAGGUGCAAAUGAAAUAUGCCUGCCCUGGGGAGGUUAGAUUGAUUCUUGCCGGACCAACAGUUUGUAGUGAGAUGGGAUUGCUUGAGGUGCAUCCGUCAUAACUUGCCUUUGAAACUACGGCCACAUCGUGAGCCCCAGUUGC